rnacentral:lncRNA from 1 species
CAGUACACCAAAUUCAAUUCUUUUCCCCUUUCUCUAACACCCUUUUUUUCUUCCUUCUCUCUCCCUUCUCUUUCUUCUUCUUCUUCUUGAACAUGCACAAUUUUACUCACCAUUGCCGCAUGAACCAUUAGCCUUUAUCCUACCUGCAACAAACACAGCAAUGAGUGCCUCCAGGUUCAUCAAGUGUGUCACCGUUGGGGACGGUGCCGUCGGCAAGACUUGCAUGCUUAUCUCCUACACCAGCAACACUUUCCCUACGGUCAGUCUGUUUCUACUUCUCUCACCCCAAAGAAAGCUUCACAUUUUAUUAGCUCUUCAGGUUCCCACUUACUGGGUUUUCAGACAAUGACAAAAUAUGGCUUGGGGAUACUUCUGACCUAUUUGUUCUUGCUUUUUAACAAAUGGGGUUGCUUGUGUUCUUACAAAUUCCUUUUUUUUUUUUUUGGUUUUUUCCGUGUUCCUGUUUCUAGGGUUUUCUUGGUUAUGUUGUCCUUACCUUUCGUUUAGAGUUGCUGAUGCUAAGGUUUCUUUUAGACAGACCAAACAUGGAUUUUUAUUUAUUUUUUUGUUUUCUUCCCCUUUGUCUCGUCAAUUUCAUAUACCUUCUUAGAGAGGACCGCUGAAAUAGGCCUGUUUGUAAUUUGGGUGAAAUGAAGGAAAAUGAAAUUUUUGGUUAAAUCUUGGAUGUUGAUUUCAAUAGAUGCUGUCUUUUUGCUUUAUACGACUCUACGGAGGUACAAUGUAUCUUUCAGAUGCUUUGCUUUUCUUGGGACUUAGAUCUUUGUUUUGGGGAUUGAUGUAAUGAUCUUCAAAACGAUUUUCUUUAUGCUGUUUGACUUACAAUUGACCUAAUCAUGGGGACUACUUUGGGAUGUAGUUAUUGUGACAUCUUGUGUUUCUUUGUGAUUCAUUGCAACAGGACUAUGUGCCGACUGUCUUUGACAAUUUCAGUGCAAAUGUAGUGGUGGAUGGAAGCACUGUGAAUCUUGGGUUGUGGGAUACUGCUGGUAAGUAUAGUUUCCGUGUCAUUUUUCAUACUUACUGUAUUUUGGGAGUUUCUUGUCACAGUUUUGAUUUUUAAACUCAUGGAACAGGCCAAGAAGAUUACAAUAGAUUGAGACCUUUAAGCUAUCGUGGAGCAGAUGUUUUCCUGCUUGCUUUCUCUCUCAUAAGCAGGGCAAGCUAUGAAAAUGUUGCCAAAAAGGUAUGCUUGAUAUUUUUCUUUUUCUUAUUGCUUUUUUCCCUCCCUUUUUCUGGACUAAUUUCCACCUUCUUUUCCAGUGGAUUCCUGAGUUGAGGCAUUAUGCUCCUGGUGUUCCAAUUAUUCUUGUUGGAACAAAACUUGGUUAGAUUUUUGUCCCUUCAUUACUUACUCUAAUUUUGGUUUACACUGUUGAUGUGUUCCUUAUGUGUUAGAUGACAAUCAGCAUAACUGUAAUUCCAUGAUAUUGCGAAGCUUCUUCAUUUAAUGACGACUUGCCUUGUUAUUCUCACUGUGUACCCCUCACGGUUUUAUAGUGAAGAAGUUACUUGUUCAAUAAACCCAACCUCUAGUUAUAUGUCUACUUCUAAACUCUAUCAUCUUAAGCUAUCGCGGUUACUUUAUUUGUUUGUUAUUCAGUAGAGAGUAAUGAAGUUCCUUCCUGUAUUACAAACUUACCUCAGUUGUUAGUUGUGACUUUAACAAACAAUUGGUUCGCAUGAUAUAACUAAAAAGGCAAGUGUAGGGGUUGUUCUAAACUCUGCAUGAGUGGUUUUUCAUAAAGGCUUGAGAAGUUUGGAAUUUUGCUGUGUAUUAGGGGGUGUAGGAUGAAAGAGUGAGCAUAGUUAGUGCACAAGUGACUUCAUGAUUUAUUAGUCUCAAUUUCAUGACAACCAAAUCUGUCUUGUAGAUCUUCGGGAUGAUAAACAGUUCUUCCAAGAUCAUCCUAGCGCAGUGCCUAUCACCACAGCACAGGUGCUAGUUAUUUGCCACUACUUCAUUCAAUUAAUAGUUUAUGCAUUUUCUUUUACUGUUAUUUUUUUCUUUUUCUUUUGGCCUUUAUUUGUUGUCCACAAUACGGGCAUGAACUUGGUAGAUUAGUGGUCUGAUUUACUUUAUUUUCUGAAGGGUGAGGAACUGAGAAAGCUCAUUGGUGCUCCAGUUUAUAUUGAAUGUAGUUCAAAAACACAACAGGUUUGCAUAUAUGUUCUCUGAACCUUAAAAGUUCGGAAGGUUAAAGGAAGUCACAACCUUAUUGAUGUUAGCCUUUGAAUGCAGAAUGUGAAGGCUGUUUUUGAUGCGGCCAUCAAGGUAGUUCUCCAGCCCCCAAAGCAGAAGAAAAAGAAGAGAAAGGGGCAAAAAGCCUGUUCCAUCUUGUGAUCUUCAAGCCUUAAUAUAGUAGUUUGCGGAGGAUGACAUGACUUUAGUCUUUGCCAUUCUAUAUCUUAUACUAUUUCCAACCUAGAUGAAGGAAUCACCACGUCCAACUGACCAAAUCAAGGUUCGCUCAAAAAGCAUCAAGCUAUUUGUCUAAUUCUCUCUGGCUGUAGGAUCUGUACAGUCAUAAUUUCCAGUAUGUUUGGCGUGCGCACAGCACUUACGUUUCAAUUGGCUGUUUUCCUGUUGUAUUGAUUGUUAUUAGAUGGACAUUUCCAGCAGUGGAAUUCAUGUUGUAAUCUAAUCUAGAAGGUGCUUGCAUGCAUAUGUGGCAUUGAAUAUGAACUAAGUAUAUGUAAUUAAUUAUGUUAGCUGCCUUAACAGCUUGGAUAUAGUUGGUUUGAUCAAGGUUUCAUUCUUCCAUUUGUUUGUUCCUAUGAGUUUGACUUACGAACUGAAAUGUUGUGAUAAUUGUAGCCUUAGGCUGGUAAAACCGAAAUUUAAAAUGCAAUCUUAAUUGAUAAGCAAUGAAAAGAAUAUUAUUGGAGCUGUCAACAACUUUGUGCUUGCACCGUUGCAAUGGAAUAUACGUUAUUUUGAAGGAUUCACAAAACAAGACCAAAUUCAUCUUUGACUUCUCACCAACUUUAUCAGAUCCUCAACGUGUGGACUGUGGGAACCGACUAGCGAAGUGUGGAUGUAAUUUCUUCUUUUUGGACGUGGGUCGUCCAAUAACUAUUUGUUUUGGCAUCGAUGCAUUUACAGGGGGAAGUAGCAUCAGAAGCUUAAAAAAGGAAUUGUCGAACUUUUCUUAAUUUACAAAUAGUAAACUAAACUAUAAUUAUGUCUUUGUAGAUUCAACAUUUAGCUUUGAUAUAAUAUCUUAAUGAAGAAUCUUAUGGUGUGAACCCUUCUUCCACCUAUGAUUAGAUUGACAGCAGGAGGUUGCAAAAAACUAUGUAAUGUGGCAAACAGCUUUCGCUCUUUCGUUUCUCCCAUAUCAUAUCAAAAACUUGAAUGAUCAUUAGAAUCUUAUCUGCUUUUUUGUGAGGAAUAUAUUCUGUGCCCACUUCCGUUGGUGAAUUGAACUCUUGAUUCUGUUCAAUCUCCCUUCUCUAGCCAUUAAAUAGCCUGCAACCUGCUUUGUUCCUUGUAGUGUUCUAAUCCUUUUGGCUUCCCAAUCCUCCUUACUUCCUCUUCUGCGAUCCUAAAAGAACGUUGAAUGGCAACCAAGAGAAUACUGAAGGAGCUCAUGGACUUACAGAGAGAUCCACCAACUUCAUGCAGUGCAGGUAAAGAGGUUGAUAAAAGUUGAAUUGCGUUAUUAGCUGCAACACACUGCAGUUUAGAAUGACAUGCUUGUUAUGGCGGAUUUCAGGGCCUGUGGGUGAGGACAUGUUCAAUUGGCAAGCAACCAUCAUGGGUCCAAAUGACAGUCCUUAUACUGGUGGCGUUUUCCUCGUCAUCAUUCAUUUCCCUCCUGAUUAUCCCUUCAAACCUCCAAAGGUAUACACCAAAACUGUUACUCCUGUUUCUGACACCAGUUCUCUUUAUUUCAGCUAAACUUUCAUUUACAAAUGACUAUGGAUAAGCAAAGAGUGUCUUCCUUUGCCAUAUUUGAAGGUGGAACAUCUGUUUUUCUAGAGCAAUACACACAUAUAAGCAGCCAUGUAUAUGCGCAUAGAUUUACAUACAAACAUAUAGUAGCAAAAUCAUCAGCUAAAAAAAUCACGUGUCUUCAGUUUAGAAUUCUAGUAACUGGUAUUUAUUGUGAAGGGCUGGAUCUAAAUGAUGGCUAGUACCAAAAACUGUUUUACAGGUUGCAUUCAGGACCAAGGUAUUCCAUCCCAACAUUAACAGCAAUGGCAAUAUUUGCCUGGACAUACUCAAAGAACAAUGGAGUCCUGCUCUCACCAUAUCAAAGGUCGUAUUGGGGGACCUUUAUUCAUUGAUGUCAUUAUUAUAGUUUGUUUCUGUUUGUAGUAAAUGCUAACUGGUUGUCAAAAAUCAUGAUGCAGGUGCUGCUUUCUAUCUGUUCUCUGCUAACGGAUCCAAACCCCGAUGACCCUUUGAUGCCUGAAAUUGCUCACAUGUGCAAGACCGACAAAGUCAAGUAUGAGUCCACUGCUAGAAGCUGGACCCAGAAGUAUGCCAUGGGCUAAAGCUCUCUGCUUUCUUGCCUCCUCCUUUGGAAUUAUCUUUUUGCUCUUUAAAAACCUUCUCUUUUAUAGUAUUAUUAUUCAUUAAUAUAUAUACAUAUGACUGUGAAGCUUGAGCAUUACUGAAUAACUUGUAUACACAUGAGAAUUGUUCUCAAAGGCUUUACCUUUGUGAUUGGAGCUUUGCUCUCUAUGAAUAAAUGCUACUCUGAUUUGGAGCUUUUCUAUGUAUUCCCAUUGAAAAUAAUACCAAUACUAAAUUGUCGUAUACUUCCUUGAGUCAAGAAACAACUAAUAACUUGUUUACGCAGGUAGGUUCCCACGGUCCCAGAUCACUGGUUAGGUUUUCUGAAUUAUAUACAAGUAGUAAAGGUAGCAAUUAUUGCAGAAUAUAUGAGAUUAAUAUUCUGAUUUAGUAAAUGCAACAAGCAGUGUAUGAGCAUCUUUAAGAGCAAAAACAUGAUUAGCACGCAAAUGAAAUUCGAAAUUAGACAUUAGUGAUGCCAUGUCAAGCACGUAAAGCUACAUGAAACUUGCUAAUAAUAGGAUUUGAUGGUCUGCUUAUGGUUGGCGUUAUUACAUAAAGAAUAAGGCUUACAGCAUCAUAUUCUUGGACCAAAUAAUCCUCUUGCAUCGUUACAAAGAUGCAGUUGAGUAUUCCACAACACCUCUCUCAUAUCUGAUGCUACACCAUUCUCAGGCUUCAACUGCUUCCAUCUUCGUCCUUUCUAUUCAACCUUCCUAGUUUUUUUAUUCAAAUGGAAGCUUCUACUUCUGUUUUUUGUUCUCGAUUGAUCGUUACAUUUUACCAAUUUUUGUAGAUAGAUCUGACAUGUUAAAUAAAUAAAUAAG